AGGGCGAGAGGGUGAAACCUAAUGAGAGGGGCGUGGCCUGGCUUGAGAUUUAAUUUGCUUGCUUACUUGAAAGGUGAACUGCUGCUGCUGCUGCUGCUGUUGCAGCAGAGGUUUAGUAGCCCCAAUAUCGGGAUCGCCGGUGCUGAAGGUUCAUGGCUAGGAUGUGGGUGCACUUCGUAGUUUUCCUGGUAUUGAGCAGGACAGCCUCUUCUUUGCAAUGCCCUGAUGGGCAGAAAUGUGAAGGAUCUUCAACAUGUUGCAAGCUCUCUGAAGGAGAUAAGUAUACCUGCUGCGAUCAGCCUCAGUUCACAGGAGCAUCCCUCCGCAUGUUGCCCCCAGAGAGCAGGAACGAGAUAUCUAGUGUUGUCUGUCCUGAUGCUAGCACAUGUCCGGUGACACACUCCUGCCAGCUCAGCCUGAAUUCCACCUUUGCCUGCUGUCCUUGGAAGGAGGCCAUCUCUUGUACUGAUGGACACCGUUGCUGCCCCCUCAGCACCCACUGCAGCACCGAUGGAAGAGUCUGCAUAGAAAAUGAAGGUAUUUGGAGACAAGAUUCAAUCUCUGCUGUCGUAGUCAGGGCUGUUCAAUGCCCAGAUAGUGAAUGGGAAUGUCCAGAUGGCUGCACCUGUUGCUUAAUGGCUGAUGAAUCCUGGGGAUGUUGUCCGAUGCCAGAGGCAUCCUGCUGUGCAGACAAGAUUCACUGCUGUCCCCAUGGCACAACCUGUGAUCUAGUUGAGACACAAUGCCUUGGAACUUUUGGGGAACAGCCUCUUUCAAAGAAGUUUCCAGCAAAGAAACGGACCCCGGUGUUAAAUUUGACUGAAAAAAACAUCUGUCCUGGUAAUCACUCUUCCUGUCCAGAUGCAGCCACUUGCUGCCUGCUCCCAACUGGUGAAUAUGGUUGUUGCCCUUUACAAAACGCUGUGUGCUGCAGUGACCACCUUCACUGUUGUCCACAGGGCACCCAGUGUGACCUGAAGCAUUCCAUAUGCACCAUAAUGCCCGAGGGAUUAUGGCCCAUCACCCACCUCACUGCAGGCCUCCAGACAGCUCACGAUAUACAAUGUGAUGCAAAAUUUACAUGCCCAGAUGGAAAUACUUGCUGCAAGACAACCUCAGGUUCCUGGGGGUGCUGCCCACUGGAGGAGGCCAUCUGCUGCCCAGAUCAUACCCAUUGUUGUCCAAAAGGUUACCAGUGCAACUUGUCAGAAGGCACCUGCCUAAAAGAUGGCCAAAGCAUUCCUUUGGUGCCAAAAAUAGACACAAGCUCCACAACAGUUUCACAAAUAGAUACAUGCUCUACAGCAUCUUCCGUAGGUCGAAUGGUCCAGUGUGGUCCCUACACAGCUUGUCACGAUGGCCAGACUUGUUGUCGCCUUACAACAGGUGCUUGGGGAUGCUGCCUGUUGACACAGGCCACUUGCUGCCAGGAUCAGAUUCAUUGCUGCCCCAGUGGUUAUACCUAUAAUUCAUCAGGCACUUGCCUAAAAGAUGGAGAUCGUAUACCUUGGGUGGAGAAGACAACAGCGAUUGUUGACAACUUCCCUUCAAGCAGGGAUGUGAAGUGUGAUGAUCGGUUUAGCUGUGCAGAUGGACAAACAUGCUGCAUGCGUUUAGGAGCCUGGGCAUGCUGUCCCCUCUUUCAGGCAGUUUGUUGCAAAGACCAAGCACACUGUUGUCCUCACGGUUACACCUGUGACAUAAAACACAGUUUCUGCAUCAAAAGUGGGGGCCCUUCCCAGGGGAUCUUGGUGACUCCCAUUCUGGCAAGGCAGGAGUCAGUGGUGAAAUGUGAUAACUUCAGCAGCUGCAAAGAUAAGGAGACCUGCUGCAAAAUGGCCUCUGGCAACUGGGGUUGUUGUCCUUUUCCAAAAGCCGUUUGCUGUGAGGAUCACCAACAUUGCUGCCCCUCUGGCUAUACCUGCAAUGUGACAGCCCAGUCUUGUGAGAAACAGCACUGGCCAGGCCUUGUUGAUGCUGCAGGGGGCCUGCCAACUUCACCGCAUACUGCUAUCUCCAGUCAAGAUGUCUUGUGCGGUGAACAGCACUACUGCCACGUGGGCCAGACCUGCUGCAAGGCCAGGAGCGGUGGCUGGGCCUGCUGCCCAUAUGAAAAGGGAACCUGCUGUCAUGACAGGCGCCACUGCUGUCCUUCUGGCUUCCGUUGUUCCCUGUUUGGAUUUCAUUGCUACAAAAAGAAGCCUCUUCGUUGGGACACUGGCACCAUCUCCCCACAUUCUAUUAAAGCCCAUGUCCUGCUCUGAAGUGCCUUUUUGGGUGGAUUUGCUUAAGGCCUUGAGUUAGAGUGAGCUGUUUCAGGAAGAGUGGUAUAAGGAAAGAAGUAAGAUUUCCAGAUUCCUGUAUGGAGCUGAAACUCCUUCAAAGGAUCUAUAUAUUUAAUUAGAACAGCUGCAGUUUCACAAGACUAGAAUAUACAUUCCUAAAUAGCUUCCUGCUGCUUUUUGCAAGCAAUACAUUAAUAACAGGACAGGAAUUUAAAAGACCAUGGAGGAAGACUGACCUUGGACACUGCUAAAAUAAAUGGAUUUCUUAAAGUACAAAUUUUUCCAUCACUUCAAAUUCACAAUCCCUCGCUCCUCACAAUAAAGAACUUCCUGAAGAACCAUGUACAUCACAUGCCUUUAAAGUAACAUUUCCCACUUCAAAACAAAGGCAAGUAUUUUUAAUUCUGUUUAUAUUUCUUUAAAUCAAGAUGUUUUUUCCCCACCAUUUGAAUACUGGUUCAAGUUUCAAGAAAGCAGGCCUUUCUUUGUCUCAACAAUAAUUUAAUAGUUAACUUGUCUAACUUUUUUCUAAAUUGUUUGCCAGAUCAAGAAUUGAUGAAGACAUCCCUAAAGCAGGGAUAGGCAAGCUAGAUUUUUGGACUAUAUAACCACAUAUAUAACUAUAACCAACGUACAUUAGUAAUAUGGGGACUGCAGUAUAAAUUAUCUAGAGUAUACCCAAUUGCUUUCCCUACUUUGCAAUAUCAAAUAUAUGUUUUAAAUUAACUAUCAGGUAUAUGAAGUUUUAUUUUCACAAUGGUUUUAAUUUUUUUAUUCAGAAAACAUUGUCAAUUCCAGGCACUUUUUUCUCAGAAGACUCAUAAACUGAACGCAAGGUUAUGUGCUAGAAGCAGCCAGUCUGAAAUUCAUUUUUUUCGUUCACUCAUAUUCAAGGAUAUUCACUACAGGAAAAAAAAUAUCUGACUACAUUUGAAGACAUAUUUCACUAACCUAGUGUUUAAUUUAUUUGGCUGGGACGAGAAUGCAGAAGGGGCACGACCGUCAUCCAGAAUUAUCUGUUCCAUAAUUCAAACCUCUAUGAAAUUCAAAGUAAAUCAGCCAUCUCUAUGAAAUGUGAGGAGAAAAAUGCUUUAGAAAAAUGUUGAAAAUUCCUAUUUGAUUCCUUUUAAUAUAAAAUGUAUAACUGAGAUAUCCAAUAUACAAAUACAAAAAUGUGCAUAAUAAAAGGUACCAUAAUACUGUACAUACAGUGUAAACAGUUUUAACAAAAAUAAUUAAAAAAAUCCCUGG